GAUGAACGCUGGCGGCGUGCCUAACACAUGCAAGUCGAGCGAACAGACGAGGAGCUUGCUCCUCUGACGUUAGCGGCGGACGGGUGAGUAACACGUGGAUAACCUACCUAUAAGACUGGGAUAACUUCGGGAAACCGGAGCUAAUACCGGAUAAUAUAUUGAACCGCAUGGUUCAAUAGUGAAAGACGGUUUUGCUGUCACUUAUAGAUGGAUCCGCGCCGCAUUAGCUAGUUGGUAAGGUAACGGCUUACCAAGGCAACGAUGCGUAGCCGACCUGAGAGGGUGAUCGGCCACACUGGAACUGAGACACGGUCCAGACUCCUACGGGAGGCAGCAGUAGGGAAUCUUCCGCAAUGGGCGAAAGCUUGACGGAGCAACGCCGCGUGAGUGAUGAAGGUCUUCGGAUCGUAAAACUCUGUUAUUAGGGAAGAACAAAUGUGUAAGUAACUAUGCACGUCGUGACGGUACCUGAUGAGAAAGCCCCGGCUAACUACGUG
rnacentral:rRNA from 1 species